CGUUGAGAAGUUCGUUGUGCAAAUCAAUGCAUCUUGAAAGUUAGAUCUUACUAAUUUAAUUGAAUGUAUAUUACAAAACUAAAAAGUAAUAAAAAGAUUUUAGAAUAUUAUAAUUUUAGUAGAAUGAAUCGAAAAAGUUUUAAAAAGAGUUAUAGAGCAAAGUACUGUAAAGGAAAGAUGAAAUAAGUUGAAAAAUUAAUUGAUAAAAAGUAAAGUUAAAUACUUGUACCUUGUGUAUUAGGGAAAAUUAAAAUAAUCUUAUUAAAAUUGAGUAUUCCCGAAAGAAAAAGAGCUAAUAUAAAUAAAUAGUUUUCGUGUUAAUGAAAUUAUAAAAUUUAUGUUAGUAGUGAAAUGCUAGACGAUUUUUCAUAUCUGGUUGUUAAAGAAUUAAAUUGAAUUUAGUUAUUUUGAGGUGGACAAAACUUUGAAAUAAAAAAGAGUAGGAGGGAAAAGCUUCUUAUUCUAAUAAUAGGUGUAUUAUAAUAAAAAGAAUUAAAAUAUUAUUGAAUUAGGCUUAAAAACAGCCAUAUU
rnacentral:rRNA from 1 species